rnacentral:sRNA from 1 species
CUGAGGGGUACCCGAGGCGUACGAUCGUUCGUACGACGGGUUCGGGAGUGGCUUGAUCCAAAGAGUCGGUUCAGGGGUGAAAA